AGCUUUGACUUUUGUAGCAGAUCCCUUCGUAGAUUUAGGCUGAAGCUAAGUUCCUCCCCCCCGCCCCCUUUGUGCCAGCGCUGAGGAAAGCACAAAGAGGUACCGCAAGUGGGGUAGUGGUAAUGGAACCCCAUUCUUAAGAGGUCCAAUUUUCAGGCUGCCUUGAGACUGGCAGUUGCUCUCUCAUCAGUGGCUGUGAGCUCUGAGAACCAUCCAGAGACUGGGGGAUGCUCUGUUUCUGGUGUGCACACAUCCAGCUUAACUGGGCCCCAUCUGUGCUGUGCUUGUAGACAGCUUACAACUUGGCUGUAGACUUUGAGCCAGGCAGAGCUGGGGAGGGUGCUCCUGGCAGCAGUGGCGACCAUUACAACAGAGUGUAAGUCAGCACGGCCGGUGGAAGGCGCGAGGUCACUGCUGACCAGUCUGAACUUCAAAACUCUCUCGCUAUUGUUGGCCAGUGUAUCUCUUAGCAGCAAAUCUAUUCAACGGGCAACGGUCCAUUUCUACUGCUUGGUGUUGAGCUUGCAGGUCUCGUCCAGCACCUGUGAGGCAAACUCAGGACUGGUUUCUUUCCUGUGCAUCCCUUUCAAUGGUAAGAGGGCUUUGGCAGCCACACACUUCCUGAGACCCGUUUCUGUGUUUGGUAUGAAGGUGUGAGAGGCACAUUUUGCUCAUCAGGUGAACUCCCUUCCAGAGGGGAACUCUGCUUUCAGAGGGAAUGGAAAGAGAGGCUCUGUAGUCCCGAAUGUCUCAUCCCUUUCAAUGGCUACAUAAAUAAACUGCCUAAGGAAAUCAGAAGAGACUUAAGCCAAACCCAGGCCCCGUAGGUACAGUGCUACAGACCUCCAGAAGAAGGCCAGCUAUUUUGCUUUUGCUAGUUGUUUUGCUAUUAUUUGAAUGGUGGUGGCUGGAGAUGUGGCCAGGCAGGAGGUGGGCAUGGAGUUGUCUUCUUGUAGCCAGGUACUGCUCCAUAUGACCAGCACUGGCAUCUAACACCCCCAGUUCCACUGUCUAGAGAUGGGAUGACAUGCCAUGCUCUGCAUCUAGGGCCCUCAGACUCUCGGCUGUCAGUAUCUAGAAUUAUGUCUGGCUGUUUGGCAUGUGCAAAUGUGGACCAAACAAGAGUUGUGGUAAAGGUGCUGUAGAAGUCCUGCUGAGUUAGAAGCUAAUGUGAACUGAGCCCUCUAAAGCACACAAUCUCAACUCCCUUGGGGGGGGGCACAUAUGGCCCCAUGCCUGAAAAAUACUUGCUCUCAGCAAUUGCAUAUAACCUGUCUCUACUUAGACAGUCAGAACUUCCAGACCCUCCUGAUAGCCUCAGACAACCCACGAGGGCGGCAGAAAGCCCUUGCCUGGCUUCUCAGUGGAUCAAGUCUGCAAGGCAGUGAUAGGGGUGGGUGAGUGGCUUUCCCUGAGACAGGAGUGAGGUCUGUGAUUCCUCCCAGGGGUGGGGGCUGCGGUGGUGGUGCAGCAGCCAUCUGCUUUGAGGAUUGUGGACGCCUUGAGGAAUGAGCCUCACUUUUGGAGCCAGCCUGUCCAUACAGAGUCCACUAAUCUGCACCUCUGUUUAGAAACGAUGAUCCAGUUCAGUGAGAAGGCUGAGCAUGCAACGCUGGGAUUCCUGGCUGGGCAGCAGGCUAGCGUUCCAAGCUGGGGACGGAGACUCCAGAGAGCAGUUUCUCCGGCAUGCUCCACCUCUGAUCAAUCACAGACUAAAUAGAGCACCCUUGGGGUAAUUUGAUUUUUGCAUUUCACAUUCUAUGGUAGAACAAAGAGCUUUUACGUUUUGUGUUCUUUGAUAAAGAGUCACAAUUAGGUCUUUUAGCUGGAAGUUUUUUUGUUUGUUUGUUUUUCUCCGAACUAUAAAUGUAAUAAAAACAAAAAUAGGGUUUAACACACUGUCUGUGACUUGCUCUUUCAGCAGACGAGGUAAGCUCUUCUGAAAACUUUGGGAUUGUUCAUCUUGCCUUCUGUACAAAGGAGCAGAUCCUUCCAGUCCUUCCACUGAGAAGGUUGGUGCUGAGCCUGCGCAUGGCGUGAUGCUGUGUAAGUAGGUGGGCAGUGGAAUGCGGCACACGGUGAGUGGCCCGCAGCUUAAAAAGUAAAUUUAAUCUGAUUCUGAUACUGUUAUUUUAUGGAAAUGGCGAUGGUAAUGCCACCAAGGCUCAAUUCCACAGCUGUUCCCUCAGCGGCUAAAGACAGAAUUAAUUAGUUUCAGGGGAAGUAGCUUUCAUUUUGCAAUGACACCUACUGUUCCUCAGACAGUGGAGCAGGCACUGGGACGGAGAGGUUUUAAAACCUGAAAUCUCCUGGUUGGCAAUCUUCCAGCUCGGAUUUGGCCAGAGCAGAGCUUGGGAGCUUGCAGGCUACAGUCGAGCAUCUGCCUGCUGCCCAGCCUGGCCGCUUGGGCAGUACCCGAUGACACUGCACAAUGCUGUUGUGACCAGACUAGCUAGCAGAGAACCAACCCUGGGAGGGCAGGCACGAAUCCAUGUGUAUAUGUAUUCUCAAAUUUAAGUAGGUUGUACAUAUUGAAAUGUAAAUGACCUGUAAAACAGCCAACUAUUUUUCUUAACCAUUACAUAGCAGUCUAUAUUUGUUAAACAGCUUGUAUGCUCAUUAUUCACCACUCUAAUAUUUUGUACAGAUAAGUCAAUUAAAUCUUUUACUC
rnacentral:lncRNA from 1 species